GACGAACGCUGGCGGCGUGGAUUAGGCAUGCAAGUCGAACGGUAUCAUCCUUUCGGGGGUGAGAGAGUGGCGAACUGGUGAGUAACACGUAGGUUAUCUACCCUCAAGACGGGGACAACCCAGGGAAACUUGGGCUAAUACCGGAUGUGAGCAACUUUUAGUUGUUUGAAAGGUGGCGUAAGCUGUCGCUUGGGGAUGAGCCUGCGUCCUAUUAGUUAGUUGGUGAGGUAACGGCUCACCUAGGCAAUGAUAGGUAGGCGGCCUUAACGGGUGGUCGCCCACACUGGGAUUGAGAUACGGCCCAGACUCCUACGGGAGGCAGCAGUCGAGAAUAGUCUACAAUGGUCGGAAGACUGAUAGUGCGACGCCGCGUGAACGAUGAAUCCCUUCGGGGUGUAAAGUUCUUUUAUAUGUGAGCAGUGCUUCUUAUAUUAAACAGUAUGGGGAGAGAGAUAUUAGCAUAUGAAUAAGCAAACGGCUAAACUCCGUGCCCAGCAGCCGCGGUAAA
rnacentral:rRNA from 1 species